AGCAGCAGCCGCGGUAAUACGUAGGGUGCAAGCGUUAAUCGGAAUUACUGGGCGUAAAGCGUGCGCAGGCGGUUUGUUAAGACAGAUGUGAAAUCCCCGGGCUCAACCUGGGAACUGCAUUUGUGACUGGCAAGCUAGAGUAUGGCAGAGGGGGGUGGAAUUCCGCGUGUAGCAGUGAAAUGCGUAGAUAUGCGGAGGAACACCGAUGGCGAAGGCAGCCCCCUGGGCCAAUACUGACGCUCAUGCACGAAAGCGUGGGGAGCAAACAGGAUUAGAUACCCCAGUAGUCCCUGUCUCUUAUAA
rnacentral:rRNA from 1 species